UACGUAGGGUGCGAGCGUUGUCCGGAAUUACUGGGCGUAAAGAGCUCGUAGGUGGUUUGUCGCGUUGUUCGUGAAAACUCACAGCUUAACUGUGGGCGUGCGGGCGAUACGGGCAGACUGGAGUACUGCAGGGGAGACUGGAACUCCUGGUGUAGCGGUGGAAUGCGCAGAUAUCAGGAGGAACACCGGUGGCGAAGGCGGGUCUCUGGGCAGUAACUGACGCUGAGGAGCGAAAGCGUGGGGAGCGAACAGG
rnacentral:rRNA from 1 species